GAGUUUGAUCGUGGCUCAGGAUGAACGCUGGCGGCGUGCCUAAUACAUGCAAGUCGAGCGAACAGACGAGGAGCUUGCUCCUCUGACGUUAGCGGCGGACGGGUGAGUAACACGUGGAUAACCUACCUAUAAGACUGGGAUAACUUCGGGAAACCGGAGCUAAUGCCGAAUAAUAUAUUGAACCGCAUGGUUCAAUAGUGAAAAACGGUUUUGCUGUCACUUAUAGAUGGAUCCGCGCCGCAUUAGCUAGUUGGUAGGGUAACGGCUUACCAAGGCGACGAUGCGUAGCCGACCUGAGAGGGUGAUCGGCCACACUGGAACUGAGACACGGUCCAGACUCCUACGGGAGGCAGCAGUAGGGAAUCUUCCGCAAUGGGCGAAAGCCUGACGGAGCAACGCCGCGUGAGUGAUGAAGGUCUUCGGAUCGUAAAACUCUGUUAUUAGGGAAGAACAAUGUGUAAGUAACUAUGCACGUCUUGACGGUACCUAAUCAGAAAGCCACGGCUAACUACGUGCCAGC
rnacentral:rRNA from 1 species